AACCUAGCACACCUGCGGUGUGUACCUGCGGAGGGAUCAUUACCGUAACGCGGCGGUCCGGCAACCGCAAGGAAGUCGGCCGCCACACGCGUUUUAUCACCCUUGACUUUGAGCACCUUUCGUUUCCUCGGCGGGUUCGCCCGCCAGCGAGGACCCCCAAAAACCUUUUGUAAUAGCAAUAUUCGUCUGAAAAACAACCAAUAAUCAAAACUUUCAACAAUGGAUCUCAGAUCGGAAGAG
rnacentral:misc_RNA from 1 species